rnacentral:rRNA from 1 species
AGCGAACGCUAGCGGCGGGCUUAACACAUGCAAGUCGAGCGCGUGGCUUCGGCCACGAGCGGCGAACGGGUGAGUAACACGUAGGUCAUCUGCCCUUUGGUGGGGAAUAACCCGAGGAAACUCGGGCUAAUACCGCAUACUGCCUUCGGGUCAAAGGCUUCGGCCGCCAGAGGAUGAGCCUGCGUCGCAUUACCUAGUUGGUGGGGUAAUGGCCCACCAAGGGGACGAUGCGUAGCUGGUCUGAGAGGAUGAUCAGCCACACUGGGACUGAGACACGGCCCAGACUCCUACGGGAGGCAGCAGUGGGGAAUAUUGCGCAAUGGGGGAAACCCUGACGCAGCCACGCCGCGUGGGUGAUGAAGGCCUUCGGGUUGUAAAGCCCUCGUCGGGGGGGACGGAAGUACUGACGGUACCCGUCCAACGAAAG